rnacentral:rRNA from 1 species
AUUCAGUUGGCCCACUUCAACGGUGGACCUUCUAAAUAUACCUGCCAGCGAAUGAUGCAGGUGGAUAUUAGUCCUCCAUCAGGAGACGGAUUACUUGAGAAGGUACACAGAUAGGUUGUCUCCAUCNCGCAUGGCUACAUGCCGUCGCUCGUGGGUCUGGCCUGGUUACUGCCGGGUUGAGCUUGCGAGUCGGUCUCGUGGUUGUGCUUCCUUUCUGCUGUGUCUGUUUACAGGUGUCAGCGUGACUGGUGGGCUUGCCUGCUAGUCUGUUGGCAUGCUUCUUGGUGCCUUUAAUCGGGUGUCGGAGGCGGACAGCACGUUUACUUUGAACAAAUUUGAGUGCUCAAAGCAGGCCUUUGUGCCUGAAAAUUCUUGCAUGGAAUAAUGGAAUAGGACUUCGGUUCUAUUUUGUUGGUUUUCGGAUCCGAAGUAAUGGUUAAGAGGGACAGACGGGGGCAUUUGUAUGGCGGUGUUAGAGGUGAAAUUCUUGGAUCGCCGCCAGACAAACUACAGCGAAAGCAUUUGCCAAGGAUGUUUUCAUUGAUCUUGAGCGAAAGUCAGAGGUUCGAAGACGAUCAGAUACCGUCCUAGUUCUGACCAUAAACGAUGCCAACUGACGAUCCGUGGUGGUUCUUUAUGUGUCCCCACGGGCAGUCCCCGGGAAACCCUUAAGUCUUUGGGCUCCGGGGGAAGUAUGGUUGCAAAGCUGAAACUUAAAGGAAUUGACGGAAGGGCACCACCAGGAGUGGAGCCUGCGGCUUAAUUCGACUCAACACGGGAAAACUCACCCGGCCCGGACACUGUGAGGAUUGACAGAUUGAUAGCUCUUUCUUGAUUCGGUGGUUGGUGGUGCAUGGCCGUUCUUAGUUGGUGGAGCGAUUUGUCUGGUUAAUUCCGAUAACGAACGAGACUCUGGCCUGCUAAAUAGUAUGCCUGUCCUCUGUGCUCGUGCAGGUUGCGUUGUCCAUUGCCUCCUCGUGGGGUAGUGGUUACGUUGACCGGCGGGUGCGGCGCAGGUACUUACUUCUUAGAGGGACAAGCGGUAUUCAGUCGCACGAAAUUGAGCAAUAACAGGUCUGUGAUGCCCUUAGAUGUCCGGGGCCGCACGUGCGCUACAAUGACGGUUUCAGCGAGUUUGGAAUCCUGGCCUGAGCAGGUUGGGUAAACUGUAUCAUAACCGUCGGGACUGGGAUCGGGGCUUGCAAUUGUUCCCCGUGAACGAGGAAUUCCUGGUAAGUGCAAGUCAUAAGCUUGCGCUGAUUACGUCCCUGCCUCGUGGCAUAGAUCUUUUCUCGGGCAAUAAACUGUCUGACUUGGAAUACUUGGAGGAUAUUUUUCUUCUGAGUGGAGAUCCAGGUAAGUUGCAAGAUCUCUUAGAUAGCCUUAACAACAGUGUAGCAAUGUUUGGGAUGCG